CAUUAGGUGGCUGAAAACAAGCACUGGUCUCUUAAACCAUUCUAUAGUAAGGUAGUGUCUACUCCUAAUG
rnacentral:tRNA from 1 species